CUUAUUCCAUUGCAUGAAAUCUAGAAGCACUUCUGCAACCUUCUCUCUCUCCAUUGGUCUUUCCUAGCACUAUUAUAUUUUUUCAAAGGGAAAUGAAGUUCGC